GAGAUCAGGACCCGCUCACCCGGGUCCGACCUCCCAACCCCUUGUUUAAUUAUACCAAUUGUUGCUUCGGCGGGACGGUCUUCCCAGACCGCCGGAGGGUGCACACCGCCCCUCUGGAGAGUUUUUGCCCGCCGACGGCCCCCUUCAAAAAAUCUUGAACCCAACCGUGACGCCUAAAUCGAUUUAUUGUAUAAUGUACAAAAAACAAAACUUUCAACAACGGAUCUCUUGGUUCU
rnacentral:misc_RNA from 1 species